rnacentral:lncRNA from 1 species
CCUCUGGUUUUAUCCAUUUGAAUGCCUUGAAAAAAUUUGCCCGGUGACCCCCAUUUUUCUUUUUGAAAAUCUUUUACAUGUAUAAUGAUAAGCCAUCUGUAAAAGUCUUAUAAAAUUUUAAUUACUUUUCAACAGUUUUUGAGAACUUCAGCUUGUCAAUGAUAAAGCUAUGAAAAGUCAAGAGAGAAUUUUAUUCCCGCCAAAAUUUCAAUGGCUCAUAUCUCGAAAACAAGCACGGUGACCUAUAUAUAUUUUU